rnacentral:rRNA from 1 species
AUGGCUUGCUGGGCACCGCCAUUGACCGGUAGCACACCCUGGACCUUUCCCAGCUCAUUAAACCCGGCGACCUCGCAUGCCUUGACGCACCUUUCAGCCUGGAGGAGAUAUGGGAGGCGGUCAAACGCAUGCCGGCGCGCAAAGCGCCCGGACUGGAUGGCUUCACCACGGAGUUUUUGCGCGCUUGUUGGAGCAUCAUCCGGCAGGACAUCUAGGACAUUUUCAAGCUUCUCUACGCACUGCGAGGGCAUGGGUUCAGCAAGCUUAACCAAGCAUUGCUAA